GUCCUAAGAUGAGCUCAACGAGAACAAAAAUCAUAUGUGGAACAGAAAGGUAAAAGCUAGUUUGAUUUUUCUUUCUAGUACGAAUACAAACUGUGAAAGCAUGGCCUCACGAUCUUUUAGACCUUCAGAAUUUGAAGCUAGAGGUGUCAGAAAAGUUACCACAGGGAUAAUUGGCUUGUGGUAGCAAAGCGUUCAUAGGGACGUUCUUUUUUACCCUUCAAUGUCGGCUCCUCCUAUCAUUGUGAAGUAGAAUUCACCAAGUGUUGGAUUGUUCACCCACCAACAGGGAACGUGAGUUGGGUUUAGACCGUCAUGAGAUAGGUUAGUUUUGCCCUUCUGAUGACAGUGUCACAAUAGUAAUUCAACCUAGUAUGGGUGGAACCAUUGAUUUGCACAAUUGGUCAUCGCGCUUGGUUAAAAAGCCAUUGGCAUAAAGCUACUCUGCGCUGGAUUAUGACUGAACGCCUCUAUGUCAAAAUUCGGGAUAGAAGCGAUGCAUGCACCCGCCACCCACUUGUCGACCCAUAGUGGGGGCCGUCUAGCCCCCAAAGACACGUGUCGUUGGUGAAGCCAGCGCAGCAAAUGAGCCACACGGGCCGCCUUGAAGUACAAUUCUUAUCUCGAGCAGCAAGUAGAAUCCUUUGUAGAUGACUUAAAUACGUGAUAGGGUAUUAUAAAUGGCAAAGUGGCCUUACUGCCACGAUCCACUGAGAU
rnacentral:rRNA from 1 species